rnacentral:rRNA from 1 species
UACGUAGGUGGCAAGCGUUGUCCGGAUUUACUGGGCGUAAAGAGCGCGCAGGCGGUCGUUCAAGUCGCGUGUGAAAGCCCCCGGCUCAACUGGGGAGGGUCACGCGAUACUGAUCGACUCGAAGGCAGGAGAGGGUAGUGGAAUUCCCGGUGUAGUGGUGAAAUGCGUAGAUAUCGGGAGGAACACCAGUGGCGAAGGCGAGUCCCUGGACGAUACCUGACACUGAGGCACGAAAGCCAAGGGAGCAAACAGG